GCCGGAAUAGCUCAGUCGGUAGA
rnacentral:tRNA from 1 species